rnacentral:rRNA from 1 species
UACGUAGGGUGCAAGCGUUGUCCGGAAUUAUUGGGCGUAAAGAGCUCGUAGGCGGUCUGGCGCGUCGGCUGUGAAAACUCGGGGCUCAACUCCGAGCUUGCAGUCGAUACGGGCAGGCUAGAGUUCGGCAGGGGAGACUGGAAUUCCUGGUGUAGCGGUGAAAUGCGCAGAUAUCAGGAGGAACACCAGUGGCGAAGGCGGUUCUCUGGGCAUUACCUGACGCUGAGGAGCGAAAGUGUGGGGAGCGAACAGG